rnacentral:lncRNA from 1 species
UGAAUAAACACCUUCCUUACCACCCAGUGUGAGUCCACUUCUUCCAAGCAAGAUCACGUCUCUGACUGAAAUCUGGACCCAAAAGAAUAACUCAUUUAUAUGGUAUCUGAAGAGAAAGCUAGCUGGGAGACAAGCUCGGAAGAACCAUAAAGAGGGAACAAGAAUGGAAGAAAAUAUCCUUUAUGCUGACUUGAACUUGCCUCAAUCAAUCAGACCCAGAAUCCUGACAGUCCCUGAUGUCCAAGGCUCAGGUUGUACCUAUGCAGAAGUGAGAGUGAAAUCCCAAGACAUAAAUGCUGCAGCAAACUGCAAAUCAUCUGGUAAGAGCUGUUGUUCCAGAAAAUGUGUUGCUAUAUUGGUAGUGAUCAUCCUUGUACUGGUCCUGGCU